CGUCGCUGAAGUUGGGGUCGCGCUCGUUGUCGUCGCCGUGUUGGGGCCUCCUGCGAUGGGGCGUCGCAGAGACGGACGGAACUGAGGACGAACCUGUGUGGUGGAUUUCCGCCGGGUGGUCGGGAAGGAAGUGAGAGAAGCAAGGGGAAAGUGCUAAUUAGUUAAAUAAAGUGAAGUUUUCGGUUGGUUUGGUUGUUUUUCUGAUUGUUUGUGGAUAUUAUGGCUGGAAUUGGAGAGAAAUUGCAGGAAUAUCAGUACGAUAGUACUAUUGAGCAGCUGUUGGGAAACGCUGAAUGGAAGAUGAUUUACACACAACUCAAUUAUUCAAUAAUUUAAAAACGCACAUUUGGAAACUGAAGUGAUGCGCCUUAGGAAAAGUCGGAGAUAAAGGAAGCAUGCAGUUAUUUACUUGUGAUUGGGAGAAAAGCUAUACAUAUUGAAGAAAGUGCCUUCGGAAACGUUUUAUGCAUGUGCUGAUUUGAUCUAGUCGUAAACUGUAUUUUCAUAAGAAAUGUUCAAGUGUGGAUCUAAGGCUUUUAUAAAACUUGUGAUUUUGAGAAGACCAAGACUUAUACCAAUAAUUUGAGGUGGAUGCAUACAUUUGGCAACGAUUUGGCAAAAGUUGAUUUUUGACGAAGCAUCACAAACGAUUUUGGCCAAUAAUCUUUAGCACCCAGUAGGGUGCAUUAGCUAGAUUUUUAACCUUGACAAAAAGCACCAUCGAGUUACAUUUUCGAAAUUUUGAAAUCAAAUAAUUUGAUUUUAUUUUUAUAAAGAAUGCUCAUUUUGGUCAAAUUGUGAUACUUUUCAAAAUAUUUUUCCAUAACUUAAAUUCUAUCUAGUUUCGAAGGGAUAGCCAGAUAAAAGGUGACAAUAUUUUGGAAGUAUCACUAAUAUGUAAAAUCGAACUAGAAGUGAGAUAGAAAUUGACAUAAAUUGAUAUAAUGUGUUUAUGGCUAAUGGCAAAACUAGAUGCAUUUCCCCCUUUUUUUGUUUUUUUUUUUAUUAAGGCCGAUGCAAAUAUUUAAUUUGUUUAAUGUCACCCCUCCCCCCCUUCAAAAAUCUCAAAAUAUUGAAGGGGCGAAAAAAAAACAUGGCGUCUCAUGACUCCAUUUUCAAUAGACAAUUUUUUUACAAGCAACUAUUUUUCAAUAGUUGAAAAAUAUUUUUUUCAAUAGUUGGUAAAAAUUCCAAUUUUUCAAUAGUUUUUUUUUCGUUUGUUCCUUAUUUAUUUUUGUCCCCCCCCCUCGUACCUGAUGAGAGGUCUCGGACAUAAAAGAAAAAUAAUAUUUGCAUCGGCCAAUAAACGGCGAAAUAUUUUGAAAAUCGGUUUCCAUAUGCACUAGGGGAUUUGAUUUUAUCUUCCUGGUGGAAAAUGUUCUUCGUUUUUCCAAAAAAAAAAACGAAGUUUUUAAACAAAGUUUUGAAAAAAAUGGUUUUUUGAAAAAAAAAAACGAAAAACAUUUUAAAACCUUUUCCACCAGGAAAACAAUCAGGAGAUACUCUGAUCCUUCCUCUAAGUACAUAUGUAUGUAAAUCGAUUCUUAAAAUAUUGUGCCGUUAUUUAUAAGAAAAAAAAAACGGAAAACAUGAGAAAAUGCAUCCAAUUUUGCCUAAAGUGGAGUUGUAGGAAAUACCAAUUUGAGCAAACAUGCCGAACAAAUGAUUGUUCCUUCAGCUCAAUUUUUGGAACUGUGGGUCAUUUUUUUGUGACCGACCCUUGAAAGUCAGUUUACUUGUUGUAACUUUUUCUAGCUAUUUUCCAAAUAUUUCAAACAGAGUUGUUCUGUAGGACAAAAUACGCAUUUCAUUUAAGGGUACAUUGUAGCUGUCACAUUUUUUGAGAUAUUAAAGAAUUCAACUUAAAAAAUCCGUCUUUAACACUUUAGUAACAUUGCAAGAGUUCUCAUUACAAUAUAAAACAGGUGUAUUAUGUACACCUUUUAUUUUGGUUUAUUUUGUAGCUCACGUUGGGCACUAGUAUGAAAUCAGGAUGUAAAUAUGUUAAUCCAUAACUGAAAUUUUUGGAAAAUUGAAAUAUUGAAGAUUUAAUUUUGUCGUCUAUAGAGAAAUCUGUUGGGUGACAAUACGUUCAACCAAAGACAAAAUGCCGAAUGCCAAAAUGUCGAAACAUUGGGAAGUGAAAGAAUGGACUUCCUUUAGAACAAUAAAGGACUCACUGUUUGCUUAGAAUACUUGUUUUCGACAUUUUUUUCCCUUGCGACGUUUCGACAUUUGACAUUUUGCCGUUCGACGUUUUGUCCUUAUCCAGAGAAAACACAUAGUUUCCAUUUUUUUAACAUUUGGAAAUUCUUGAAACCAAUAAUCUGUAAUCAGUUAACUGAAUUUUUGCUGAAUUUUUCCGAACACAUCAGAACGCUGACUUGAGUUAAAGUAAAAUUUGAAAUUUCAGUUCACAAUCUAAUUUAUAAACACAUUUUUAAAAUUUUCAACAAAAAAAACUUCAAAAGAGAUUACACUUUCUUUAACGAAACAUUGUACUUCGUCUUGCAAAACAAUUGCGUAAAACAUUAGAGAAAAAAAUUCUCAGUAAAGACAUAAGAGAUCGUUCCCAACUGACUCAUUGGGUUUUUAAAUUUUGAAUAAUGUAUUGAUUUUUUUAUUUUAUACGAAAGACCACCUUUUUCUGAGCCAUUAUGAUUUUUUUUUUCAGAUUACUACUACUACUUUUACUAAUUUUAAAUGCUCAAAUCAUAUAUUUUUAUAUUUUUUCGUUUUCAAAUUUUGUGUUUUUCUAGUUUUAAACUUUUUACUUUGCAUGUUUGACAAAAAUAUUCACGAAACCUCAGUAGAUUGUGUCGUAAAAUUUACGGGGAUGAAUCAGUCUCGGGCUGAAUUUCCUCAUAAUAAAGAUAUGAUAAUAAUAAUCGCCUAACUUCGUUGCGACAAGCUCAAACGUUAAACUGGAACUAUUUUCCAGUCAUUUUUUCUUUUUUUUUGUUUUCGAGUGUUUUAUAAUUGCACCGUUGUUUAUGUUCAGAGAAAGUGCUGCUAUGAUAAGCAUAAUGUCUCUCUCUCUCUUCUUGGCGUAACGUCCUCACUGGGACAAAGCCUGCUUCUCAGCUUAGUGUUCUAUGAGCACUUCCACAGUUAUUAACUGAGAGCUUCCUCUGCCAAUGACCAUUUUGCAUGCGUAUAUCGUGUGGCAGGCACGAAGAUACUCUAUGCCCAAGGAAGUCAAGGAAAUUUCCUUUACGAAAAGAUCCUGGACCGACCGGGAAUCGUACCCGUCACCCUCAGCAUGGUCAUGCUGAAUACCCGUGCGUUUACCGCCUCGGCUAUAUGGGCCCUAAGCAUGAUGUGCGCGUGUAAUAAAAACCAUAUUUUUUUCUUUCAUCUGAUUAACAAACAUCUUUGCUGAAGUUUGGACAGCUUCAUUAUUAGUGGGAUAUCAACGAAUGGUCAAAGUUUCGAACUGGUGGAGUUUUCACAUACUUUGCUGAAGCUUUGAUCAAGAUCGAACAAGUUUUGUUUAGAUAAAUUGAAUAAGUUUAACAAAACUUGGAACAAAUGAAAAACUAGUUGAUUUUUGUUUUUUUGCUUGGGGCAUGUCUUUACUUGAAGUUUUGGUAAGUGAUCUUGUUUGGGUGCAUAUUUUCACCAUCAAAAAUGCAAAAGGCAUUCUAGGCAUAUGUAGCUCAGUAUUUGAAUUUACAACAAGAGUGUUUAAAAAAGUUUUAAAACAUGACACUUUAUUCGAUCAAAAUAUUGUUAAAUUUCGAAUUUCGCUUUGAACUGUAUACGACUUUUUUUUCGUUUUUUGAAAUGUUAAAUUACAAUAAACUGCUUUCAAGUUCUCGAAAACUUUUGGCAGAAUACAAUAGUUUACAAAAUAAAACAAAAGUCGUGAACUUUGAUGCAUAUAUUUUUUUAUCUGUAUUAACGAGAUUUUUAGCCCUGGGCUAGUUCAUCUCGGGAUCCACGCUUUACUUCCCUUCCGAAGGAAGAACUCACAUUUUGUGAGUUUGUCGGUAGUGGGAUUCGAUCCAAAGGUCCUCGGCGUGAUAGUCACGUGUUCUAACCAUCCAACCAAGUCCGCUCCACGAUGCAUAUUUUGUAUUUUUCCUGAAAAUCGAGUUUUACAUUUUUUCAACAAUAUGGAACUUAUUGAAAUUCAAAUAUUUUGCGUUGCAAUUAACCAAUUUUAAAUCUUUCUGCUUGAAUAUAAAGCUGACUAUUAUGUCUUUCGGUUAUCUUAACACCACUUUACCAUCAGAUUGAUGGAAGUCAAGAUAUUGGUGAGUAUGUGGGACAAUCUUCAUAAAUUUUAAAAAAGUAAAAAAAAAGAAAAUUUUAUAUUUUUUCAAAAUUUAAAAAUUGCACAAAAAUCGAUUCCCAAUUGUCAUAUUUGAAUGGAAAGUCGAAAAUAAAUUCGUUCUACUGUAAUAUUUUUCCUUCGCGUUUCCGUUUUCUACUCCUGGCCGCAGCUUUUUUUUUAAAUGUUGAAACCUGGAAUUGGUAAGCUCUUCUGAAUUUAAAUAACAUAAAAAGAGAGAAACUUCUGAGUUUGAGUCAAAAUGUUGAGAUUUGGAGGUGGUGCAAACGCCUCAAAGGUGAAUUUUCGAGUAAUAAAGAGGUGUUUUCACCUUAAGUGUAAUAGCUUUUUCAAUUUUGAGCCGAUUUUUUUUUAUGAAUCUUUCUUAUUUUCGAAUGAAAUAAAUUUUUACAAAAGUUAUGCAAAAUCUGAAUUUUUAAAGAUUUUGUGUAUUUUUUUUCUUUUUUUGACAAUUCUUUUGGGCUCGGUGACUUCAGAAUCGCUUGACCAAUUUAAAAAAUGAUGUGUAUCAACUGUACCUUUCAAAAAUGUUUUAACAUGGAAUAAUUUAAAAAAACUGUUGAAAAAAACGUGUUUUUCUAGAAAAAAAAAAGAAAAUUUCGGCAAAAUCGUAAACGAUUGCAUGUUUUGUUUCGGGCCUUAACCGAUAAUUUAUUCUAAAUAAUCGGAAGCAGUAAACUUCAAUUUUUGGAAAGUUCUGAAUUAAAAAUGUUUGAAUGUUCUUAAUGUGAAGAAAAAAAUGAAAAAAAAAAUCCUCCACUGUGUUUUAUAUCCUUAAACGUGAUUCUUUGUAUCGGGUUUGGAGUAAAAACAUGUAACAAAUCGCCCUAAGCUCCAAUAUUACCUAAAAAGUCAUGUUCUGACUGUUUUUGGUAAAAACUAUCAUAAAAAUGAAUGCUUCAACAAAAAGUUUGCUCAAGACAUUUUUAGAAAAACAGAAAUAUCUACAAAAUCACACUGAAAGAUUUGAAAUUGUGAGUUUUUUUUUAAAAGAAGAAAAAAUAAAUAAAUGAAAUUCUCAAAAACUCUGGCUCAAACUCAGACGAUUCUCUUUUUACGACAUUUGAAUCCAGAAGAGCUUACGGAUUCCGGGUUUCACCAACUUUUCGAAAAGCAUUCUAAAAAUGAUCAUCAACUAACCGAGUUUAGAAAACUUGAUGUUAAAAAUGCUAUGCAAAAUUUGAUAAAUUUUUUAAAAUCGUCAAUUUCAUACACAGAUAUUUCUUAUUUCCAGGAGUAAUGAUAUGAAACCAUACAAGGUCCCUCAAUAACACUUCAAGUAUGAGCUUGCGUUCAAAAAAAAAAAAAAUGAAAAAUAUUUCAUCCUUAAUUUCUUGAAAGAUUUAAUUUUUAAAAUUUGUCCAUAACAUGCUUUUAUGGCUUGCUUGAAUCUGUUCAAAAUUUCAUCAAUGCACCUUUAGUAUUCCAAAUUUUAGUUCACUUGAAAUACGUAUGAAGAAGUUAUGGGCACAUGAUAAGAAAAUGAUUUUGACCAAACAGUCGUUGUACGGGCAGUCGUUUGGUACAACCCUAGUAGCACAGAAGUCCUAUAUGAGCUUAUGUGUCUCUUGUAUGACUUAAUUUGGUCAUAUAACAGCUUAAUGAACUAAUGUACAGCAUGCGUGCUACUUGGGAAGAUAAAAGUCUCCUUGAUUUAUAGUUAGAGUCCCAAUUUUAGGGGGGCUCCUACAUAGAAACCUCCCUGAGAGUGACCUCUACAUGGAAAUCCCUCUAAGAGAAAAUACUAGAUAGAAACACUUCUGAGAGGAAAUUCUAGAAAAAGCCUCCAUGAGAGUGUCUUCUAGUUGGAGGCCUCUAGACCUCUAGCUUGAUUUACUAGGCAGACUCCUGUGAGGUGCUUUUAGAUGGGAACUCCUGUAAAUGAUUUUUUAGCUAGCAGCACCUCUGAGAGGCAAUUCUAGAUAGUAGCGUCCCUGAGGUGGACCUCUAGUUAGAGACCCCUGUGACAAAAUCUCCACGAAAGAGGCCGAUCUGAGAGGGACUUAUGUAUAGAAGCACCUCUGAGAGUGGAUUGUGGAUACAAGGCUCCUCGAGAGAGACUUCUAGAAAGAUGCUCCAUGUAAAACGGACUUCUGGAUAGCAGCGCUUCCGAGAAGAAAUAUUAGAUCAAAGCCUCCAUGCGAGGGGCUUCAAGAUAUAGACCUCUUCAAGAGGUAUAUCUAGUUAGAGGUCUCUUUGACAGACUCCUAGAAAGAGCCAACUGAGAGUGAUUUGUAGAUGGAAGCCCCAUCAUGAGAAGGAAUACUAGAUAGAAACACUUAUAUGACAGGAAUUCUAGAUAAAGCUUCCAUGAGAAAGUGUUCUAUUUGGAGACCUCUCUGAAAGGGACCUCCAGAUAGAAGCAUUUUGAGAGGACCACCUGUAAAAGGGACUUUUAGGACAACCACACCUCAGAGAGGAAAUUCAAGAUGGAAGCCUCUCUGAGGGGAAUUUCUAUUAAGGGGCAUUUUUGACAAAAACUCCAAGAAAGAGGCUGACCUAAGAGGGACAUCUAUACAUAGAAGCACCUCUGAGAGGGAACUCUAAAUGCAAGCCUCCGCGAGAGAAACUUCUAGAUAGAAGCUCCUGUAAAAGGGACUUCUAGAUAGCAGCACUUCUGAGAGUAAACUCUAGAUAGAGGCCUCGAUGAGAGGGACUUCAAGAGUGUACUCUUUGAAAGCGAUUUAUAGUUAGAGACUUCUUUGACAGAGACUCCUAGGUAGAGCCCACCUUGAGAGGGACUUCUAGAUAGAACCCAAUAUGAGGGGUGCGCCUAGAUAGAAUCCUCCCUGAGAGUGACUUCUAGAUAGAAGCCUCUUCAUAGGAAGGGAUACUAGAUGGAAACACAUCUGAGAGGAAAUUCUUGAUAGAGCCACCAUUAGAGAGUCUUCUAGUUGGAGGCAUCUCUGAGAGGGACCUCUAGAUAGAAGCAUCUAGAGGGACGCUUAGUUGGGAGCACUCCCUGUAAAAGGGACUUUUGGAUAGCCACAUCUCUGAGAGGAAACUCUAGAUAGAAACCUCUCUGACAGGGACUUCCAGUUAGAGGCUUCUUUGGCAGAAACUCCUAGAUAAAGGCCCCCUGAGAGGAACUUUUACAUUGGAGCUCCUCUGAGAGGGAAUUCUAGAUACAGAUCCUUGAGAGAGACUUCUAGAUAGCAAAACUUCAAGGUACAGACCUCUUUGAGAGGGAUUUCUAGUUAGAGACGUCUUUGACAAGGACUCCUAGAUAGAGCCACCCUGAGAGGGACUUCUAGAUAGAACCCUAUUCAGGAGGUGCUCCUAGAUAAAAUCCUUCCUGAGAGUGAGUUAGAUAAACUUUCUCCAUGAGAGGGUUUUCUAGUUGGAGGCCUCUCUGAGAGGGACCUCUAGAGGGAGGCUUAGAUGGGAACACUCCCUGUAAAAGGGACUUUUAGAUAGCCGCAUCUCUGAGAGGAAAUUCUAGAUGGAAACGUUUUUGAAAGGGACUUCUAAUUAGAGGCUUCUUUUACAGAAAUUCCUAGAUGGAGCCCCUUGAGAGGGACUUCUGGAUAGAGGCCUCUCUAAGAAGAAAAUCUAGAUACAAGCCCUUAUGAUAGGGAGAUCUAGAUAGAAGCUUAAUUAAUUUAGAUUAACUUCUAGAAAGAAGUUUCCUUUAUAAGGACUUCAAGAUAAAAGGUCCUAGAGGGAGACUUUUGCCCUUCGGAGAAACUUUCAGAAGGACAUGAAAUUCGCCUCCCUGAGAUGGGCUUUUAGAUAGGGUAUCGCGCCACUUGGGCGGUGGCUUCUAUAUUCGUCUGUUUUCCACUAUAACUCACUCAAUUUUGAACGAAUUGAUUUGAAAUGUUGUACACGGGUAGAAACUAUACCUAUCUCACAACAUUCCAAAAGUUGUGUCAAUUGGUUCAAAUUUGACUGAGUUAUAGUGGAAAACAGACGAAUAUAGAAGCCACCGCCCAAGUAGCGCGAUUCCCUAGAAGCCGCCCAGAAAGAAGCUUCUAGGUAGCAGCCCCCAUCUGAAAGGAAUUCCAGAUAAAUGCUUGCAAAAAAAAAAAAAUUUGCAUAACUUGAGCCAAAAUUUUCCACACAUUCAGCAACGAUCAAAUCUACAUGUGCAUCACAAGUACACACACGUCAAUCAUCGAAGGCACUUUUUUCAUACGUGCAAACGCAAAUGCACCUCCCAAUUUGCUCCACGCAGCGUGAUUGCUCCGGUCAAUCGCAUUGUGAAAGUUGCCCCUGAGGGGUAACAACAAAAAAAAGAAAAAAAAAAGAAAAAAAAAAACGCAAAUCGGAUGGUCGAAAAAAAGUUCCCACACUUGGCUGCGGAUUGCUUCACAAACAAUAUCUCUCGCCGGCUCAAGUGGUCGGGCAUCCGACGGCUACAAUGCGAAGUCAGUGGGCUAUUGUGACACCUGGCCUACGGCCAGCAGGUUUUCCAUACCGAAUUAAUUAAUUUCCAAACUUGCUCGAAAAUUGGUUCAAUUAAUUUCGGUGCGGCGCGACGCGGCAUCACAUUGAGACUUGAGAGACGGAGAUUAGUGUCGGUUUUCCUCAUCACACUGCACUGUUUUGCGUUUUAAUCUUUUGAUUUUCUUCGAGUUUUGAUUGGUUGCCAACUAUAUAGGAUUUGCCUGUUAAGCGGUUUUUAUGGGAUUUACAACGCCUUUGUCGAUUCGCCUUUGCCUUUGCCAUUCGGUGUUUUUAUUAGGAAAUGUGCGACUUUCCAAACUGGCUUGUUACUUUACUUUGAGACGAUCAUGCUCGUCUGAUUUUAUCCUCAUUUUUAUACCUUCCUAAACGUAGCAGAUUUUUGUGGUUAUUGAUUACACUUUCAUACUUUUAUGUGAAAUUUUACAUUUUUUUUUUGUUAUUUUAGUAACAUGUGAAAGACAAGAAAACUAGGCAUCCCCAGAGGAGAUAUGGAUGUGAAUUUUCUAGGAGAUGCUUAAACAGCAUUUUUCCGUUAGUGGUGUAACUAUGAAAUGAAAUGAAAAUAAAUUUGAAAACAAAAUAAAAAAAAACUAAAAUAAAAAAAGGAAAAAUUGAAAAAAAAAACAUUUAAAUAAAUGUAAACGAAUAUAAAAACCACAAAUAUUAAAGCACCAAAAGUAAAAAAAGAAAUUCUAUGAAAAUAGUAGUAUACGGUUAUUGAAUCUGUCGAAAAUAUUUCAAGAUAAAACAAAAAAAAAAUGAGAAAUUGAUUGUUUCCAUCAAAAUAAUGUAAUUUUUCACUGAGGCUUCCACAUCAUACGCGCUUUUUCUGCUAUUCAGUUUGACACAUGCGCACAGAAAUUUUAAAAUCUUGAGAUGGACGAAUCAAAAUCUGUUUCCUUAAAGGGGGUGGCGUGGUGUUCAAUUUUUAACUUUAUUUGAAAUCUUGUUUAUUUUUUUUAAUUUUUCUUCAUUUGCUGUUUGUUGUUCUGUUGAAAACAGUCUCUUGGAUGCCUUUCGAGUGUUGUAUUGUAUUCACUUAGGUGAAAGUAACAUCAUGUGCUUCGGUAUAGUUUUGGGUGAUUUUCUACACUCAUGCAAGUUUGAACAAAGGUGAACAUUGUUUGACAUGGUGAAACGAAAAAGAAUAGGGUAUCGUGCGGUGGAUUGUGUUGAGAGCUGCAUGACAAUCUUAAUCUUAACCGGGUUGUUUUUAUCUUACAGUACUAGUCUUAUCACAUCUAUCUUAACACUAUAAGGACAAUUCUUAGAACUUAAAAAAGAAAUAAAUACACUUUUGUUCGAAAUGACGAAAUGUUUUGUUUUAUUGAAACUGUUUUUUUUUCUGUUUGUGUUACGGUUUUGGUAUUCUGGUUAAUCAGGAUCGCCGCUGCAAACAAAUCAUUAGCCGACCGAUGUUUUGGAGAACUCCCCCUUCACUGCGUCACUGUGUUAUCAUCUCUAGUGCUGUCUUUCUACAAACAAUGUUUGGAAUCACUCCAUGAUGUCUUUGUAUUCAGGUUUGUAUGUUAGUGUAAGCUAAUUAGUACGAUUUUUUAGAAAAUUUCUCGAAAAUUGUCUUAAUUCAGACUGGAUCGAACCAGACUUGUUUGAAACAAUGAGGAACACAAUUCAGUAUUCCAUUAAUAUUAGACUUUUAUUUGUGAUAAGGUUUUUGGUGAAUUUUAAAAAAUGUCCUAAAUUCAUUAUUAGAUGGUUCUAAUAACAUUGAGUUUCUAAGAGAUUCCAUGAAUUAAGCCGAAAUUUGCUAGAAUUUCAUGACUGCAUUAAUAGAAAUUCAGUUUAGUUAUACAAUUUUUGUCGGAAUUAACAUGCGUUGCAUGAGGUAUCUAAAAACAUUUUCAAAUUGCGAUUUUUUUUUAGAUUUUUGCAAAAUUAAAAAAAAAAUAGAUGUUUCGCCAAUACUUUUAAGAUUAGUUGGAGCUCAUUUUAACAAUCCCGCAUGACCCAGAGUACGGAAAAGCAAGGCAGAUACAAAUGCUGCAUAAUUGUAAAGAUUCUUGAAAAAAAGGAAAAAUAAAAGAGGAGGCGAACCAACCUCGGGCUGAAAGUCUCGAUAAUAAAGAUAAAAAAAAAAGAAAAAAAAACUUUUAGUGUGAAUCAAGGCUUUUCAGUAUGAAUUUAAGGCCUUUUUUAAUUUUUUUCAGAAUUUGUCUAUUAUUUGAAGGUUUGAUGAAAUUUCUAAACUGUCGGAUAAACCAUUGACUUGUUAGAAACGAUCGCAAGAUGAGAAGCUUUCAUGCAUUUCUUUUGCGUGAUGAGCAUUUAAUUUUUUUUAUAUAUUCACAGAUUUCAGGAGGAUACUCCACGUCUCUGCUUCUUGUGCAUGGAGUACCUCAAUAGAUUUAGUCAUUGCAAAUCUCGCCUUUAGGAAAAAUAAUCGCAAAAUUUCAGUCUGAUCUAGGAAAGCAAGUGAAAAUUUAGAAAAUUUUCUUAAGAAAGACGUCCAAUCUGAUAAAACACUGUUUUCAGCAAAUCAAAAACAAUCUACAAAUGCUUGAGAGUUUUGUAUAACAAUUCCCAAAGAAAAUCAAAAACUUUUGCCAACGCUGUGAAAUAUUUUUGGUUCAGUUGGAAUAUUUAUAUUUUGCAACAGCUUCAGUAUUUUCUGGCAAAAUUUGUCGGAAUAACGUUAUUUGCACAAAUUGUAGAGUUUUUUAGCUUUAAAACUAAAAAAAAUUAUGAAAUCCUUUUUUUUAAAUUAUCAAGCAAUCCUCUCAAUUUAAACAAAAAAAAAUAUCUGAAAAUCUUUACAAUAUGAACAUACUUAAUACUUUGAUAAUGACACAUUAUCUAGAGCUCUGAAGCGUCAAGUCACGCUACAAAUUUCUUCAAGUGAUUUUACCACGAAUUGCAUGAGUUUUUCCGUUUUUGAGAAAUAAAAAAAUGGAAGCAUUUCUACUAAGAAACUCUUUAAGAGUCUCUUCAGAGUACUUCCAGAAGUAACCCCAGAGAUUUCAUCAAUGAUCCAUAAAAAAAAUGGCAUGAUUUUUUUUAUCUAUGUAGUUCAUUUAUUUGAGGCUCAAUCACGUAUAUCGCUUUACGGAGCCGAAUGUAGUAAUGGGUGGAAGCCAGGGUACUCGUUUGGGAUGAUCUCGUUCAGGAAUUAUGAUGAAUACAGUGAGGACCCAAUAUUUGCAGUCCCUGGAAGAAUUUAGGGCUGACAAAAUCGGAUAUCCCACUCCCACUCCCACUCCCGACACAGUCACAACAUGUGAGUUCUUCCUUUGGAAGUGAAGUAAACCGUGGGUCCGGAGAUAAAUUAGCCUGUGGCUAAACAUCUAGUUAAUACAGAUAAAAGAAAAAAAAAAUAAAACUCGCCCUGCACAAUAGCACUUCUUCUUCUUCCGCUUGUCAUGACACCCCUACUGAAACACAGCCUCCAUAGAGAUUAUAGUAAUUGUAGUCUACGGACGGAAGACAGCAGAUGACAGCGGAAGCAGAAUCGGUUAGCGCAACUGGUUCUCUUUGCGCUGUCUUUCGGCUUCAAUUUUCAAAGUCUUCCACGUCGAAAACAUUGCGUACCGCUUGCCCAAAACACACAAUACAUACUGGGAGCGGUUGUGCCAGUAAAGGGGAAGCACGCUUAUCGCAACAGUUAUCAAAAUUCCAGAAGGAAUCUUCGGAAAAUUCCAUAGAGAAAUCGCUGGAAAAUUCUUUGGAUAUAUCUCUGUGGGUUUCUACCCAGGAGAAGCACCGGAAAAAAUGUUGGCGAAAGUCUAGGUGAAAUUUGUGGAGAAAUUGUCGGUGAAACUUCAGAUCAAAGAUUUGUAGGAAUCUAUGGAAGAAUUCCUGGAAAAAUUACGCGAGGGAUUACAGGACGAAAUCCGAUAAGAAUUCAUAAAAUAAUACCGUAAGUAAUUUCUGUUUGAACCUCUAGAGGAGUCCCUGAACAAAUCCCUUGAAUAUUGUUUGAAGGAAUCCAUAUUGUAAUCUCCUGAGAAAUCCGUAGGAGCAUCCCAAGAGGAAUUCUUGAAUAUAUUCUUGAAAAAAAAAUCCUAAAAGAAUCAUUGAGAAACUUAUAUUGAAAUUUCCAAAGAAAUCACUCUUAUUGCUGGAGAAAUCCACGGAGAAAUAUCUGAAAAAAGUGCAGGGGAAUAUCUGGAUCAAUUCCUGGAGGAAUCUCCCCUGAAGAGGCAUAAGAAAUUCUAGCAUGAAUUCCAAGAGAUUUCUCAGAAAGCGUUUCUAGAACAAUCAGGGACUUCUUUUACGCUGUGGUGAAGUUUUUUGAGAAUUUUAAGAAAUUUUCGGAAAAAAAAACGUCAAAGAUCUAGUGUUUAUUAUUAUGGCUGCAUUCAUCAAUGCGCUGUUCGAGCAAAUGCACUCAAGCUUCUCGUCAGAAUUCUUAACGGAAUGUCUGGAGAAGUUUUUGUUACGCACGUCAAAAACUACUACGGAAUUACUGUUUUUGAAAUUUUUGAGAUAUGGCGGAUUUUUUUUUUAAAAGCUCAUUUUCUGAAAAAAAUGAAUUAACUAUUCAAGAUUUUGUAUAUAAUUCUUGUAGGGCUUCUCAAAAAGACCAUUAGACAGCAUACUCGUAGCUGUGAGGUAUUUAAAUUUAAUAAAAUUCCGAAUCUCACCCCUGGAAAAAACUUGAAAACUGAGGGAAUUUUAUUUUGCCUUGUCUUUUUUUUUGCCUGGGAGAAUACUAAAGUCAAACACUUUCAAACAGCCCAACACUUUCAGUUGAAGUUUCUGAUGUUUCAUUCAAAUCAACUGGAGAUUCUUCUGGAGAUUCCUUAGAAAUGUCAAAGGAGAUUUAUUUUAUUUUAUUUUUCUUUUACAAUUUCUCUGAUUCAACAUUUCCAUGGGCUAAGUAACAUUUUUUAGUCAAAUAGACUAGAAGAGGUUAUUAGAACCAACAUAAAACCAAAUUGAAAGGUAGUAGGUAUUGUUGACGGUUGUCAAAACCUCUACAAUACUAAUUGGCUAUCAAAAUGUUACUUGGGAUUUGUACCUCAGGAGAUUUUUUUGAAAAAUUCAAAAUAUUUAGUUUAUUCAGCAUUCCACAACAUCAUCAACAAAAAUCUGAAAAUCUGUAUAAUAAAGAAUGUAGAUAUGUAAUGCCACACAUUAUCUAGAGCUCAACAGGCCAAUCAACAAAUUCACCAGGAAUUUCAUGAGCUUUCCCGUUUUUGAGUAUUGUAAAUUUCUUUCAGAAAAUUUGGAAAGCAUUUCACUAAGAAAUUUUUUAAGAGACUAUUCGUUCAGUGUUUCUCUAGAAAUUCUCACAAGAGUCCAUCAUUGGGCCUUCCAAAAGUUUGUUUCCUUCAACAAGAUAAAGGUAUUUGACGAAAUAAUCAAAAAUUUCACCAAUUGGUUAUUUGAGAUUCUUUUCCUAAGAGGUCCCCUAAGAGGUCACUGUUUUUUUUGGUUUUAUUAGAACUUUUGUGAAGCGUUGCUAUAGGACUUUUUUAAAUUUUCAAGAAUUGCACCUAGAAUUGAAUCUGAAGCCAUGAGAUUAGGAAAAUCUCGUGACUGUUUUAGCAGAUAUACAUUAUCUGAUAUUCCGUACGUCCAAGAUUCCAUACAUUAUUCCAACCCUUCCAGCAGGAAUCCACUUAGAGCUUUAAACAGUAAAUGGAGUUAUACUGAAUUGGGAAUUUUGCCUGAACUGUAAGGAUUCUGGUAGAAAUGCUAAAAUUAUCAAUUAAAUUUCCACGACUGCUUUAUCUCCAAACAAAGAUCGAUGCAAAACAUGAAAAAUUUUGAUAAGAACUUCAAUUUAAAUACUGAACACAUCGCCCAAAUGCCUUGUGGCAAAAAAAAAUUAAAAGUGAGCUAAAAAUGUUACCAUUUUCGUUUUUUUUUUAGAAAUUUUUCGUUUUUUUUCAGCAUUUUUAAAUUCAGUUCAGUGGCAACACUGGACAUGAUAAAUAAGCUUCUUGAGCUUCCAAAACUGUCUCGUUUCAUCCGGAGAGACUUAAAACAAAGAACUGUACUUACAAAGAGAAACAAACUUCGUUUUAUCCGGGGAGUUAAAAAAGGAAAAAAAAUAUAAAAAUUCAAAACAAAUGUGAUGUAUUAUGGAAUGUGUCGAAUUAUUAUCAACAAUUUUUCAAUUCGUUCAGUGGCAACACUGAAAAUAAGAAACACACUUUCAGAGUUGCCAUAAAUGCCUCGUUCCAUCCAAGGAAAUUUAAAACGAAAAAAAAAAUUAAAAAAAAAAUGAAAAUUCCAAAACAUUUUGCAACUUAUAGAAUUGUUUCCAUAUAAAUGAUUUUCCGAUUCCGCCAACAGAUUUAGACUCGCCAACUGACGGACAAAAAUAACCAACAACUGUCGAGGAAAUGUGUGCAACCAAGAAAUUACAUAAAAGGGCUGAAAUCACCCUAAUAAAGUUGAUAAUAAUAGUAAUGUUUCAGCUCAUAAUGCCCUAAACAUUUUUUACAAGACAUAGUUAAGUUUGUUUGAAUCCAUAUAACGUUUUGUCAUUGGUAAUUGAAGAUUACGAUGCAGUUUGAAAAUUCAUCAAAGACUCAACACUGCUAUGACGGAAACUGUUAUGAUGGAAAACGAUGAGCACAGUUUGAGAAAAGCCCUUCAUUUCCGUAAAGGUAUCUGAUGUCAUAUGGUUACAACAUGAGACCAGUAAUUGAGCACCCAAAGUGUCUUUCAUUUCUCGUAAUCGAUAUAUGGUGGUGCCCACUGCAGCAGUAAAUGCACUUAUGCAACAUAUGCAAAUUUGAUCGACUAUCUUCUGCCGUCAUCGUUUUCGCUCAGCUCAGCUCUGUCACGUUACGAGAGCUAACGACGAAAUCAUCCAUAUUGGAUCAUAGUACAUGCGUCUCUUCGUAUAGUUGUCGUCUUGGCAAUAGUCCAUCAGUAUUAGACAACAGAUGUAAGCUAAGAGCUAAUCACAUUUUUUUUUAAAUUUUUCGUUCCUUUUUUUUAUUUUUUUUAACAAGAGUUUUGGCCCAAGGCUAGUUUAUCUCAGAUGACAGAUUCCGACAGAUUCAUUUGCUACCGUAGGGGAAAGUGGGGCAAUAUGCCAUUUUUCAAACUUUCAUCGUUUUCAAUGAUGUAUAGCCUCAUUUGUUAGGCUUUCAAAGUGGUAACAGCAACUAGACAAUACUUGCUCGAUGCUUCAGCAAAAAUAUUCAGUAAAUCAUUGCAUUUUCAUUGAUUUUUAGCGAUUUCAAAAACUGGUUCGUAAAACGGAAGUGGUGCAAAAAGGCCAUCUGCCAUGGGGUAAGAUACCACUUCAUGAAAACAUUCAAAAAUUACGUCCAUCAGUUUUCUGGCAUUUUCGACUUACUUUCACCAUUUUGUCACGUUUUUUCGUUUACUCAAUACAUGGAGUGUUACCCCCCUCCCCGCAAAACGAUGAUCGUAAUAUUUGAAUGACCCCUAACAUGGAAAGCGUAGACAUCAACAACCAUGCGAUUCCAUGCGUGCCUCAAUCUCGUUGGAAACACUUGGCUGGUAAUAAAAUCACCAGAAAACCUUAAUUGCAAGCACGGAAAACCGGAAGUUGCCAAUUUUCAUUGGGAAAUCAAAAGAUUUUCCGUGGGUUUUACGGCCUAGCAUCUAGAAGAAUGUUCAAUGCAAACAUAUAUUGACACCGUUCACCUAUAUCAAUGAUCAAGUCCCAUUCAGGAAUGAUUUUAUGAGUUGGGCCAUUUUACCCCAUCUUGGCAUUUUGGGCUCUGUUCCCCUACCUCUCGAUUUACCGAGCCGAGAGCAGGCACGUAAGACGACCUCCGCGAAUUACAAAUUGUCCCACUUCCGUUGCCGUUACCCCCUUCGGAACGUUUAUCCCCAUCCACUUUUGCUCGUGGUCGUUCGUGACCACUACUCGAACCAGUUUCGAUCGCUGGCUGGCUGGCUGGCUAGCUAGCCAUGGGCCUGCUUAAGCGGGAAGCAAGCAACAAUCUCACGAUUCCACUUCCUCAAUCUUUACCUCUAGUGCGGUUGGAUGGUGGAGCCUGCUGAUUGGAUCGUGCUCAGUCCCCCCGUCUUGAAUCUUGAAUCUCGAUGACAUGUUAAAUCAUUUUCAGUUUCAUCAGUAGUACAAUCACACAAGGCUGCCGGUAUGGCUAGCAGUGAAAGAGUGUCGCUUGGAAUGGGGCUUGAUUGUUGAGUUUUAUUGUGGCUUGAAAUUACCCGUGGGUGAUUGGCAUUCAGUAGUGAGGCGAAAACAUGUAGAUCUAUCUGAUUUGGAAGUUUGAUCUAUUUUUAUGGUUUUAGGUUGAUUUAUAUUCAGAUUGCAUAAAAAAAAAACUUUUUAGCUCUAUCAGUUGCAUAAGGAGCGAUUUUGGUAACACAUAUCAAUAAAAAUGCACUGGCGAAGGCUAAAAAUAAAAAAAAAAUAAAAAUUUCAAUAGUUAAUAAAAUAUUUAAGAACGUUUCAAUAGUUUUUUUUUCGAAAAUCUACCAGUCUCAUUCAAUGGAAACACUGAACAUUGAAAAUGCACUUUCAGUGCUGCUAAAGCAUUGCUUUGUUUUAUCCAAAGUGGUAAAAAAAAAGAAAAAAAGUUAAAAAUUUCAAAAAUUUAUAAAAUUUUCAAGAAUGUUUCGACUAUUUUCAACAUCUUUCAAGUGCAGUUCAGCAGCAGCACUGAACAUGCGAAAUACACUUUCCGAGUUUCCAAAAAUGUCUCGAUUUACCCGGAGAGGAAAAAGGAGAAAUAUGGAAUAAAAUAAAGAAAAAAAACAAAAAAAAACAUCAUGGAACAUUUUGGAAAGUUUGGCUUUUCUCAAUUUAGCGGCUGUACUGAAUAAAAACUAUUGGCUUCAAGAGGUAACAUUGAUCUUUUAAAAGUAAACUCCAAAAAGAUUAGAAUUGAAGAAAAUUUUUUUAAUAAUUUUAAUAAUUUUAAAAUUAUUCAUUAAUGUUUCGAUAUUUUUUCAGAAUGCUUUUAGCCCAGUUUGAUGGUAAUACUGAACAUGGAAAAUGCACUUCAGAGUUCUUUAAAAUGCCUCGUUUCAUGCGCAGCUGCAAAUAAUCGAAAGUAAUUUGAAAAUAGUAAAAAUUUCAGAGAUUUCUAAAAUUAUUAAGAUUGCUUUGACUUUUUGCCAAAAAAAUCAUGUUCAGUUUAGUAGCAACAUUAAACAUGAGAAAUACACUUCCAAAGUUUGAAAAAAAUGCCUCGCUUUAUUCGGGGAGGAUAAAAACGAAAACAAUAAAAAAAAUUGAAGCAUUUGUGAAAUAUUUGGAAUUGUAUUGCUUGUUUGUUAAUAAACAUUAGUUCAGUUCAGUGGUCUUACUGGACAUAAACAACUGGCUUUCAGGAGCAACACUGAUAAUAAAAAGUAAGUGGCCAGAAGCUUAAAAUAAAUAUAAAUCAUAAAAAAUUAAUAUUUCAACAACUUAUUGAAUGUUUAUGAAUUUUCGAUAGUUUUUCAGAAAUCUUGCAGCCAUGCUUGCAGCCCAACUUAAGGACAACAUUAAAAAUGGAAAAUUCUCUUCCAGAAUUGCCAAAAAUGCCUCGUGUCAUCUGAAGUUGCAAAACAAAAAUCAAGAAAGUUAAAAGUUCCAAAAAAUGUAAAAUCUUCAGGAUUGUUUCUAUUUUUUUUUUCAAAAAUUGAACUUGAAAGUAGAGUUUCCAAAAAAUGCCUUGCUUUAUCCGGAGAGAAUUAAAAGGAUGAAACUUUAAAAAAGUGAAAUAUUUACGAAUGUUUUACAUCUGGCUUCAAAAUGGCUUCCAGAGGCAACACGGAGCAUAAAAAAAUUUACCAAAGGCUAAAAAUAAAAAAAAUACAAUAAUUUAUAAAAUUUUUAGCAAUAAUUCGAUUUUUUAGAAAUCUUCCAGUCGAUCUUAAUGGCAACACUGAAAAAGAAAAAAAAAUGCAAUUCCAGAGUUGCCAAACUCCACAAAAAAUAGCAAGUCAAAAUUUUGAAAAUAAUGUAAAAUUUUUAGGAAUGUGCCGUAGUUUUUCAACCUUUUUAUAUUUAGUUCAGUGGAAAUACUGAACAUGAAAAAUAUUUUUCCAGAAUUUCCAAAAAUUUCACGUUUCAUUUGGUUAAAAUUUAAAAAUAAGAAGCUUCUUAAAAAUUUGUGAAAUAUUCAGGAAUGCUUUGUUUUUUUUUUUCAACAAAGUUUCAGUUCAGUUUAGUAACUGUAUUGAACAUAAGCAUUUGGCUCCCAGAAGCAAUAAACUGCCAGAGGCAACGCUAUACAUUGAAAAUAAACCACUAGAGGCCAAAAAUAAAAAAUAAAAAAUAAAAAAAAACUAAAAUUCAAGAUUGUUUCAAUAUUUUUUCAGAAAUCUUUCAGUCCAGCUCAAUGGCAACACUGAAAAUGAAAACAAAUGAACUUCUCAAAAAUGCGUCAUGUCAUCUGGAGUCGCAAAAAAAAAAUAAUAAAAUAAAACAGAUAAAUUUUCCAAAAAUUUGUAAAUAUUUUAGGAAACUUCUCCAGUUGAACUGAAAGCUCAGUGGCAACACUGAAAAUGUUAAACAAAAUUCCAAUGUUUCUAUAAUUGUCUCUUUCCAAAGAGGCUGAAAAUGAAUAAAAAAAAACAAACAAUUUUCAAAAUAAACCUCAGUUCCAUAAAAUAAAAAAAAAUAAAAAAAUUGUAAUAUCUUUAGGACAGUUUCGAUUUUUUUUUUCAAAAAUUUAAUACUGUAAUACUGAACAUAAAAAAUACACUUCCAGAGUUUCUAAAAAUGCCUUGCUUUAUCCAGAGAGGAUUAAAAGUAUGAAAGUUAAUAAAAAGUAGAAUAUUUACAAAUGUUAUGCAUCUGACUGCAAAAUGGCUUCCAGAGUCAACACAAAGCUCAAAAAACUAAAAAAGGCUAAAAUUAAAAAAAAAAAUCAAUUAUUUACAAAAUAUUUGGGAAUGAUUCAAUAUUUUAUUUAAUAAAUUCAGCGUUACCAUAACUCCACAAAAAAUAACAAGUUGAAAUUUUUAGCAUAAUGUAAUUUUUUAGGAAUGUUCCGUAGUUUUUCUACAUUUUUAUGUUUAGUUCAGUGAAAAUACUGAACAUGAUGAAUACAUUUCCGGAAUUUCCAAAAUUUUGGGAAAUAUUUAGGAAUAUUUGUUUUUUUUUCAACAAGCUUUCAGUUUAGUUGAGUAGCUGUACUGAACAUAAGCAUUGGGUUCCCAUAAGCAAUAAACUGCUAGAAACAAUACUAAUAAUUGAAAAUAACCUGCAAGAGGCUAAAAAUAAAAAAAAAAUUCAAGAAUUUAUGAAACUUUUAAGAUUGUUUCAAUAUUUUUGCAGAAAUGUUUCAGUCCAGCUCAAUGGCAACACAGAAAAUAAAAAAAUGAACUUUUCAAAAAUGCCUUAUGUCAGUGGAGUGGCAAAAACAAAAACAAAAAAAUAAAAACAAAAUAAAACAGAUAAAAUUUUCAAGAAUUUGGAGAGUUUUCAAAAAUGUUUCGAUUUUUCGAUAUUUUUAAGUUUAGCUCAGUGACAUCACCGAAAAUAUUAAACAAACUUCCAUUGUUUCCAAAAUUGCCUCGUGCCAAAAUGGCUGAAAAUGAAUUAAAAAAAAACUAUUUUCAAAAUAAAAAAAUCAAUAAAAAUAUACAAAUUUAUAAAAAUGUCUGAAUUAUUUGAUGAAUUUUUCAAAUUUGUCCACAAAAAUCUAUCAGUAGCUACAGAAAGAAAUUCAAUCUAAAAAAAACCGAACCAUUCAGGGUAUCUUUCAAAACAUGGAUCCACAAAAUCGAUUUUCAGAUCACGUCAACAGAUUCCACUAGGUAAUUUCAGAUUCGCCAACUGACAGACAAAAACAACCAACAACGACGAUCGAGGAAAUGUGUGCAAACAAGAGCUUUCACUUUCAUUUGGUCGUCAUCGUGAUCGUGGUCGUUGCUUUCAGCCCACACCAGAAGAGAUGCUGGGCGAAGGUCUUUCUCCCUCCGACAAAGACGACGGUCGUUCGUCCGGGCGACGGUUAUGUCAGGACAACCAGAUCGUGGAAUGUGCGCGCGCAGGCGGGGGUUUCCUACACGUUCGCUGCCGCCAAAAUGCUAAAAUGAGGUAAUCUGCGCGCGCCUUACGAGACGAAUGGCGCGCAUCGAGCAGUGAGCAGCCAGCAGCUGUUGGUAAUAAAGGGCCCCCAUAUGAGGGACUCCGAGUCGGACAUGAGUGGCUGGCAGAGAGCGAUCUAAAACUUCUUUCACUUUUUUUUUUUCUUUCGCCCAAUUCCUUUUUGCUCUUGCCGUUUGGUCGCGUUCCGCUUGCGCCCGCCAAGGUAUUAUUACCUCAUGGGGCGGGAUAGGAGAGAAAUGCGCCAUGCUUGAGGCAAAAUGCGCCAGACUUUCGAGAAAAAUUCGCUGGUUUUAGCUGGAUAACUAAAAGAAAAACAGAGGCGUAGUCCUACGUCAAAAUUGUGGAACAGUACAAAUGUGCAUCGACUUGUUCGAUCCGUUCGAUCGUUAGAAAACAACGUCAACUAAAACGCCGUAAGGUAUGCAAUGUUCAUCCUCUUCGUUGAAUAUGUACAAAUGUGCCAGCACAGUUUGACCCUUCCUGUUUCAAAUAAUACAAUUUUGGAAAAUUCUUUUGACUUGUCGAUUUAUUCUUGAAAAUUCAAAUCAGAGGUGAGUGCAUUCCACCCCAAAAGCCCCCUCCCGAGCGGGAAGGGUAUUAACGAAAGUGACAGUAGUUCAGAGUGAAAUGGUUGAUUUAAAUAUGUAAGCUGAUAGUUGGUAUCGAGGCUGGUCGACGACACGUAUAGGACCGGAUCGCGAAAGUAGGAUGCUGGGUUGAGCAGAGCAGGUUUUUCUUUUAGGUUUUUUUUUCGUUUAAGCUGGAACCAGUUACGUUUACACUUCUGGGUUUUUCGGUCAGGUCGAAACAGGAACCACCGACGCGACGAUGAAGUGUGGAGUGGCGAGGACGACUACGGGGAUCAAGGUGGACCAGGUGAACUGAACUGUUAAAAGCCGUUUUAUCGUCAUCAAGCUGUUUGUAGGCUUCUCAUGUUUCUCUCGUAUGCGGUUGCAUAACUUGUCGAUAAAUUGGGGACGGAUUGAGACUGGUUUUUUUGGCUAAUCGGGGGAUCGAGUUACGUCAUCGCUUGGGAUAUUGUUGUUUCUGAUACGACGGUAGGGAAGAACUGAAAACUUGAUAGGACGUAGUUGUAGGGGCAAGUGUCAUUAAACACCGUGCUCAUAAGAUCUUUGGUUAAGCUUGUAGAUCUGAAGACCUGCCUUGCCUAUGCUCUAAAGAACUCUUGGAUAACUGGAAACAGUCAUUUAAAAUUGAUGCCUUAAUCGAACAAAACUUUAUGGACCUAUGUGAGCAUGAACCUUCUCCAUCAUGCCAUUGCAUACGUGUGUAGAUCUUAAGACCUAUUCUCCAAGGAGAUCUCAGAGCAUUGAAAGCAGUCGUCGUACUGAAGACUUGUUAGAAAACAUCUUUACGAACCUAUGUUUGUAUAAAUCUUCAAUGACUUACAAAACUUUUGAAGAAUCGAUAACAGCUAUAAAGAAUCUAAACAUAGUCAUACACGGGAAAAAAUUCGUUGCCGGAUCCAUGCCUAAAAUGUUAUGAAAUCAUAAAACUUGUCGCUUCAUGAUAUUGUAACUACAAGUCAUGAUAUCAUGACGUUAAUAACGAUUAUCAUGAAUAAUAAUAACUGAUUCCAUCAACAAAAGCCAUGGCCGUCAAAAGCGUUAUGAAAAAAAUAAGCUCGUUUUCAUAAAUUGAAUACCAUAAAGUAUAGUCAUGGUAGCAUGACUCUGAGUCAUAAAACUAUGACGCUGAGUCAUCUCAACCAGACGCUGAGUCGUAUAAACAUAACGCAGAGUCAUAAAAUCAUGAAUCACAACAAACGAAUUUGGGCACUGUAAGCGUUACGCAAACCCUCGCUCAGAAUCACCUACGCCAUUUUUGUCACUUCUGUCAAGACGCCUUUUGUGAGCGGCAGUGUUUUCCGGUGAGAUUUUUUUUGGUUUUCGAAAAAGUGUAGUGAAUUGUUCUUACUUAAAUAGUAGUAAACUAUAUAAUUAUUGAACUACAUUCCAGAAGUUGAAAGUGAAAAAACUCUAUAUUCCGGCACAAAACUCCGGCCAGCUUCAUCAGCAGCAGAACAAUCAAGCUCACACGGCGGGCGACAUGGAACAUAAAAUCAGCACGCGCUUGGAUUUCCUUAAGGAAAAAUUCGAGAACCUUAAUUUGCAGCCGCAAAUUGUUUCGGUUGGGACAUCGCGGGGAGAAGGAGCGGUGCUCGUUAUUUUCGGGGUAGCGGAGUACAAGGCAGACCACAUCCUCCAUGCCAUUUGCAUGCAAGUGAUAUAUGUUUUGAAUCUCCAGUAUGCACCAGACUGCAAGCCCCUCUGGAUGUUCUUGCAGGCUCAUCUGUUCAAAAUCCCAGCGGUAGAUCUACCCAAAAGCACCCGCGAUUUACUGCGGGCUAUUGAGUAGGUUGAAGGCACAAUGAUGAAUAAAUAUUGACAAAUACCAGAAUCAUAAAAAUUACUUCAAUAUUCAGGAACCUUGUUCAUGAUUUCAGAGUGCGUGCUUCACGAUAACAUGACCUUAAAUGCCACUUUGCACCAAUUAAUCCGAUAGUAUAAAUUACAAAUACUAGAAUCAUGCAUACUGCUUAUGUUUUUAUAACAUUAGGUAAUAAAUUUAGAACAUGCUUUAUGAUAACAUGACCAGUACUACCAUUUUUCGCAAAUCGAUCCAGUACCAUAAAUGACAAAUACUUGCACCAUGAGUAAUGCUCAAGCUUUCAUAAAUUUAGUUCAUAGUUUGAGUACGUACUUCAUGAUAAUAUGAACCGACUUACCAAAUUUCGCUAAUAAAACUGGAACCAUAAAUGACAACUACUAGUUCUAUGAAUACCGCUUCUGGUUUUAUGAAUCUAGUUAAUAGUUCUGGUAUUCAUGGGCAUGAUAUCAUGACUUAACUUACAAAUUUUUGUCAAUAAAUAUUAAAAACGUAACGCCAAGGUGACGUUACGGCAACAUGA